rnacentral:rRNA from 1 species
CCUACGGGGGGCAGCAGUGAGGAAUAUUGGUCAAUGGGCGGAAGCCUGAACCAGCCAAGUAGCGUGCAGGAUGACUGCCCUACGGGUUGUAAACUGCUUUUAUACGGGAAUAACGCGCCUUACGUGUAGGGCUUUGCAUGUACCGUAUGAAUAAGGACCGGCUAAUUCCGUGCCAGCAGCCGCGGUAAUACGGAAGGUCCGGGCGUUAUCCGGAUUUAUUGGGUUUAAAGGGAGCGUAGGCGGGAUGUCAAGCGCGCUGUGAAAUGUCCGGGCUCAACCCGGGCCUUGCAGUGGAUACUGGCGGGCUUGAGUACGCGGAAGGCAGGCGGAAUUCGUGGUGUAGCGGUGAAAUGCUUAGAUAUGACGAAGAACCCCGAUUGCGAAGGCAGCCUGCUGCAGUGGAACUGACGCUGAUGCUCGAAAGUGCGGGUAUCGAACAGGAUUAGAUACCCCAGUAGUC